AAAUUUGAUACUCCAAUUUCAUAUGUGAAGUCCGAUUGACGAAAUUUCAGUCAUUUGAACCUAGUUCCAUUAAGGCCCACCACUUGAAUAUUAUAGCAACUGACGAUCCGACCGUUGGAUCGUCACCAAACUUUAUUUCAUUAUAGUACAUAAUAUUUGAGUACCAUAGAAACUUAUGGAUAGGGAAUCUGACGUACGAAUUUUCCUGAGUUGGAUUUGUAAGUUUAUAAAAUAAAAUGUUGACCGCCAUUUGGUUUUGGCAAUUGGCGGAGAUCCGACCGUUGGAUUGUAAUGAAACCUUAGGAUGUUGUUCUAGAAACAUAAUGUGGAUCCUUGGAAGUAACGGAUCUGAACUCUGUGAUGUAGAUCUUCCAAAUUGAAUUACUUAGGGAUGUGUUUUUGUAAAUUAUGUAUUCUAUCGGUAAGAACUCUGAGAUGUGAUUUGAUAAUUGUUCUAGGCGACGAUGGUUCGUGAUGUCUCGAUAUUCAUGCUAGGGAGUCGUAGCGCGGACCUAAGGUGAGUGGGUCUUUUCCUUUCUAUCGUAUAUAUAUUAUAUAUAUGUAUGAUUGACAAUUCCACAAACGUUUAUAAAUUGAUUAAUGCGUAUAAUUAUAGUGAAUGCUUUGAAGU
rnacentral:lncRNA from 1 species